UACGGGGGGGGCAAGCGUUGUUCGGAAUUACUGGGCGUAAAGGGCUCGUAGGUGGCCAACUAAGUCAGACGUGAAAUCCCUCAGCUUAACUGGGGAACUGCGUCUGAUACUGGAUGGCUUGAGAUUGGGAGAGGGAUGCGGAAUUCCAGGUGUAGCGGUGAAAUGCGCAGAUAUCGGGAGGAACACCGGUGGCGAAGGCGCUCAUCUGGCCCAAUACUGACGCUGAUGCGCGAAAGCUAGGGGAGCAAACGGG
rnacentral:rRNA from 1 species